CUGAAGCAGAGUGUGCCAAACUUAACCACCAUGCCACCAGGCCGGCCCCUCACUUUUAUUAUAUAAUUUUGAAAGAAGUUAGUUAAUUCUAAAAACACCCCAUGAGGUGUCGCACCACAGGAAGCCCAGAUCCAGAAAUAAGAGCCUAAAAUAGCAAGAAAUUGUGUGAAAACUGGCACAUUGUAGGCACCCAGUCAACAGCGACUGAAGAUGAGUGUCACUUAUGGGGAGUUUGAGGGCCGAGACAGAGGUUCAGAAUCGUCUCCUGUAGUGUGGAUUUAACUGCAUUGCAGUUAAAAUGAAACAUGAUUGUUUCGCUUCCCUCAUAUCUGCACUUUAUAUUUUUAGGGACUUUAGUCUUCCGUAAAUUGGCCACAGACUCAGAAGUAAACGCAGCAGACGUCCAUAUAUCAGGAAUACACGCUACAAAGCAAAUGCACUAAAACCCUGUAGAAAAUGCCACUGCACCCAAGUGUCCCAAACUAUAACCUUUCAAAUGUGAGUCUCAAGGGAUUUUCUGAGAGCAAAGGAUUUCAUGGACAAAGAUGGAUGGGAACACACAAUACUACUUGCAUAUUUAAGCUCACAGAAGAUUUUAAAAAGAUCAUUUUCAGAGCUCAAGAUUGGGACCCCAUAAAGGUACUCUGAAAUAAUCAAUUUGGAAUCCGUAUGACAGCUCUGUUCGUUGGAGGUGAAUAAAUGGUUUAAUGAAAGGAAGGCCUAUCUACCUAUUAUCUUCAUCUUCAUCAUCACUAUCAAGAACAUGUGGGAAAUGGCAGAAUGCUGAGGCUUCUCAAGUUGUACAUGAAUACGAGAUUGAACUGCAAUAAGGAUCACCCCCAGAGCUGGAGUCCACAUGGACUUGGGGGCCUGGUAUGGGCUUCAGCCUGGUGGUCAUCCAGCCCCCAGCCUCAGAAAGACAGCACCUGAGGCCAUCAGAACAGAUGGUGGUAUGGACGUCCAGCACAGUCGUCUGGGUAGUGAGAUAGUAAAAUAUUAUUUUGGAUCACAUUCUUGUUCUGUUUUAGACAUGCACUGGGUUUUCUUUACCAAAUGAGCAUUCCAUUAAAAAAAAUUACCAAAUUAAUAGCAUAACAAGUUUUCAGGGGAGGUUUAUUAGAGUCAAAUACUUAAAAAGCUGUCAUUUAAACAGAAAUAGUUGUUAAAUUGAGGAGAUAAUUAGGUACCUGAAAUUAAUCAAAGUAUG